AUUGCACAAUGGGGGAAACCCUGAUGCAGCCAUGCCGCGUGUGUGAAGAAGGCCUUCGGGUUGUAAAGCACUUUCAGUAGGGAGGAAAGGUAGCAGCUUAAUACGCUGUUGCUGUGACGUUACCUACAGAAGAAGGACCGGCUAACUCCGUGCCAGCAGCCGCGGUAAUACGGAGGGUCCGAGCGUUAAUCGGAAUUACUGGGCGUAAAGCGUGCGCAGGCGGUUUGUUAAGCGAGAUGUGAAAGCCCCGGGCUCAACCUGGGAAUUGCAUUUCGAACUGGCGAACUAGAGUCUUGUAGAGGGGGGUAGAAUUCCAGGUGUAGCGGUGAAAUGCGUAGAGAUCUGGAGGAAUACCGGUGGCGAAGGCGGCCCCCUGGACAAAGACUGACGCUCAGGCACGAAAGCGUGGGGAGCAAACAGGAUUAGAUACCCUGGUAGUCCACGCCGUAAACGAUGUCUACUCGGAGUUUGGUGUCUUGAACACUGGGCUCUCAAGCUAACGCAUUAAGUAGACCGCCUGGGGAGUACGGCCGCAAGGUUAAAACUCAAAUGAAUUGACGGGGCCCCCC
rnacentral:rRNA from 1 species